UACGUAGGGUGCAAGCGUUGUCCGGAAUUAUUGGGCGUAAAGAGCUCGUAGGCGGUCUGUCGCGUCGGCUGUGAAAACCCGAGGCUCAACCUCGGGCCUGCAGUCGAUACGGGCAAACUAGAGUACUGCAGGGGAGACUGGAAUUCCCGGUGUAGUGGUGGAAUGCGUAGAUAUCGGGAGGAACACCAGUGGCGCAGGCGGCGUCCUGGACCGGCACUGACGCUGAGGAGCGAAAGCGUGGGGAGCGAUCCGG
rnacentral:rRNA from 1 species